UGGUGGAGUGAUUUGUCUGGUUAAUUCCGUUAACGAACGAGACCUUAACCUGCUAAAUAUGUUACGCAAACCUUCUGAUAUGGGUUGAAGCCUUCAAUGCGUAUGGCCCUAGCGGGCUAUGCCACGGGAGGUGAAUGCCCUGAUGAGUUUGUGGCAAUACUUCUUAGAGGGACUAUUCGUAUCUAGCGAAUGGAAGUUUGAGGCAAUAACA
rnacentral:rRNA from 1 species